CAUAUUCUGUGAUUUCAAUCUAGAAUUCUCAACUUUGAAUAGAGGAAAAGAUAACACCUUAGUUAAAGGAUCAUUCCCUUUAAUUGGGAUUCUUGAAAAUAAAAAGUUUCAGUAUUUAAAAAAAAAAAUUUUUUUUGGAAACGAAAUCAAUUUUUAUUUUAGAAAGAGACAGAUGGGUUAGAGGAGUGAGUAAAAAACGAAAAGGGCGUGAAAGAAAAAAAAUAAAAUAAAAUAAAAAACAAAUUGCAAGUUGAGCAGCACAGCGUUGGCGUUACCAGAGCUUAACAAAAAGGGCUUCUGGGUAAUCGCAGGCCUUUUUCUUCCUUCUGAAUCUCCAAUCUUCUCCAACUCUUGCAGUAAUCUUUCGAAGUUUGAUCAGGAUUACGUCCGGUGAUAUUUGUGUGAAAAAUCGGCCAUUGAAUGUCUGAAGGUGAACCAUCAUCUGCUACGUUUCAGGUGCGUUUCGAAACGAUGGUUUGCCCUAAUUGACUCACCUAUGUUCUUUGAUUUCCACCUGUCACUUGAAAGCUGAAACCAGCACUAAUUUGAGUCUGAUUUUUGGAGAUGAUAAAAUAUAUUCCGUUGACUUAGAUAGGUUUGCUUGAUGGUGUCUUGAGUCUGAAUUUAUUGACAUUUUUCUAAGGUUGCGUUUGGGAACACCGAAUAGGCGAAUCAGCGCUUUGGAUUUGGAACUAAAUUAAAUUCAGUUAAUACAUUGAAUUAAAAAAAAAUCAAUUCCAAAAUCAAGUUUCCGAUUUGGUGCUCCCAAACAUAGCAUAAUUGUUGUUCCUGUUGAUCAAGAUGUCUGCUUUUGUGUUUGUUGCUAAUUUUCUUGCUUAAACAAUGGAUUUUCAUUAAAGGCUGUUAUUUGAUCACGGAUUGGUUGUAUUUGAUUGACGACUCAUGCUUUUGUGAUAUCAAGUGAGUCAUAUUUCUUACUCUUUGCAAUCAAUGCUCAUAAAAAUUGUGUUUAACUUGACCUUCUUAUGUAGAAGAUUAGAUCUUAUUCAUAGUCAUAUGCUAAUGGUUGACAAUACAAUGUUUCUGUUAUGCUGAUGGAUUGUGAUAUAAAUAUAUAUUCCAUUUUAAUAUAUAUAUAUGUAAGACAAUUGCAUCUUGAGUCCAAAACAUAAACAUGAGAGUACCGGCCUGUUGUCUUCAUUCCUAAGCAUGAUUAGCACUUCUCGUACUAUUUUAAUCAUCAUUUUUUCAAAAUUUCAAAACCUAAUGAAAACUCAACUUUAGGUCAAAAUAGUCUACUCUAAUCUUAAUUUUUUUUUUAAUUGCAUUUAGCAUGAUUUUAUAGUGAUUUUAUUACUAAUGUGGAAUUGGUAGAGUACUUGACAGUUUUUCUUGUAAGACAUCAGCUAAAAAUUAAUUGUUAGAUGUCCCGCUCCUAAGUAAAAAGUGAAUAUUCUACAAAUGGCGGUAAUUUAUUAAAUUCAAUUGACUAAGUAAUAGCUUUUUGUAAGUUAAUUAUUAUCCAAUCACACUGAUCACUAGCACCAUAAUAAACUAUAACUUCUGUUACGAUUUUUUUUGCCAAGAACACAAGUACAAUAACUAGUUCUACAACAAACUAUGUUCCAUAGACACAAACUCGUGGCUAAAAGCAAUUCUUUUGCCACCUAAGUACAUAUUCAUUUCUUAAAUGUGGUUCUUCUAUUUCAACAUGAACACAAACUCAUGGCUAAAACUGGUCUUUCGCCUUGAAACCACAUAUUCAAUUGUUGUCCACACUUACUAGUUAUAAAAACAACCUUAACAAAGGUUCAUGGUACAUGCAAUCACACACAAGUUAUAUACUCAUGAGCUCAAAGGUUCAUGGUACAUGGAAUCA